GACGAACGCUGGCGGCGUGCUUAACACAUGCAAGUCGAACGAAGUGGCGAACGGGUGAGUAAUACUUGGUUAACCUGCCCUCCCUUUUGGGAUAAGCCUUGGAAACGGGGUCUAUUACCGAAUAAAGGGGGCUGGGCUCGCGGCCUAACAGCCUGUUGGUGGGGUGAUGGCCUACCAAGGCGGGGACGGGUAGCCGGCCCGAGAGGGUGACCGGCGACAUUGGGACUGGGAUACGGCCCAGACUCCUACGGGAGGGAGCAGUGGGGGAUAUUGCACAAUGGGCGAAAGACUGAUGCAGCGACGCCGCGUGCGAGAUGACGGCCUUCGGGUUGAAAACCGCUUUCAGCCAUGACGCGGUAGUGGCAGAAGAAGCACCGGCUAACUACGUGCCAGCAGCCGCGGUAAUUC
rnacentral:rRNA from 1 species